GGGAGGGACUCUUGGGAAAGACCCCAGAGGCCGGGAGGGUGCAGCCGAGCUCACGCGGGCUUGGUGAGUGGAAGGAGGCCUUCCUGUUCCACGUCGCGGCCGGGUGCAGGAGCCAGCAUUCCGGGUCCAUCGGGCCCAGGACAGGGUUGGGCACCUCACUCGUCCCCUAACGUGUCCCCAGCCCCACCACGGAGGCUGAAGCACAGAGGUGGCAAACACCCCCAAGGCCUUGUGCCAGGUAUUUACCAAGGAAAUUCCCAGCGAUUUCCUCUCCCCUCCCCGGGCAGCGCCUGCUGCGUGUUCCCUGAUGCGGGCCCCGGCUGUGCAAUCAGCGGCCCGGAGACCUGCGGGGACCCGUAAUUGCUCCGGAGUUGCCCGGGACUUUGCAAGGGGCCGCCGUGCUUUGGGGCUGCCAGAGAAACUCAGCUUCCUGGUCUGGACUGGAAAUGCCAGGCCCCUGGAAAAAAUAAUUUGGAGGAGAAAAAUAUGAGUGGGCUAGAAACGGAUUUGAAGAGUCAAUGUGACCUCAUGCUGAUGUCGUUGGAGCCAAGCUCAGCCAGCCCAUUCUAAGGGGUCAAGAUUUGCAAGAUCUUUGGAGAACUCAGAAACAGAAGGUCAUUGGCCACGUCCACAUCAACAGGGAGCGAGGGGAGCGGGAGACGGUAAGCCAGUUCUGCUGCAGUCUGAAUCUGCUGAUCAUGGAACGUCUAUCCUGCGGCAAGUAGUUAUUUUUUCAUUAGAUUAUUCAUCUAACCAUUGUUGACUGUUGAUGUAUUAUACGCCAGAUACUGUGUGCGGGAGAUACAGUGGUGAAUGAAGAUGUACUCCACCGUGGCUGUCAUAGAGUUUAUGGUUCUGUGGGAGUCAGAUGUUAAAAAGUCAAAGUAGACAUGUAAUUACAAACUGUCAUGAGUGCUAUAAAACAAAAGAGCAGGGUGUGAAGAGAUAACACAGCAGGAGGACCUCGUUUCCAUUGGGGGUUUCAUGGAAGGUCCCUUGGGAGAUGGACCCAUGCAUAGGAAGGGCUGUGCAGGGUAAAAAGUGUGGAGAGAGGAUUCCAAAGAAUGGGAGCAGCAUGUCUGAAGAACUUUGUCUUGUAAGAGUGUGGUGCAGGCAAGGGCUUCAAAGAAGGUGCGUGAUGUCGGUGCCUGAGGGGAAGCGUGGCAGAGGAUGCUGCUGGAGACGGACGCCAGGCUGGAUUGUGGGGAUGUUGUGCACAACCCUGAGCUCUGCGGGCAGCCUCUGAGGGGGGAGAAGGAGUGGCCUGUCUGCAUGGCACUGUGUAAAGACGUUCCCGAAGGAGAUGAGACGACAUAGGGAGAAUAGAAGGGAAGCUACGGCAGAAGUUGAGGCAAGAGCGGAUGGUGGCUUAGCCAGAAGUGACAGUGCUGGUGACAACUGGGUCAGUUUAACGUGAUUUUGAAGACAGACUCAUCCAGGCUUGGCUAUAGAUUGGAUAGAGGAAGGAAAGGGCAGGAACGGGAACAGUUUCCAGAUUCCCGGCAGAGGUGAUCACGUGGAUGAAAUGAGACAGGUUCAGGGAGGAGAGAAAUUGCAAUGAGGGGAGACCUCCAAGGGGUUUGUUCUGAAUAUGUUAAAUGGAAGAAGCUUUUGAGAUACCUUUUAAAAGAUGUCAGGUAAGCAGUUAGAGAGACAAGACUGGAGCUCAGAAGUGAGGCUGAGGUCCGGGCUGAGGAGUCCAUUUGGGAAGUCCCAGGAGAGAGAUACCAGAGCCCGGGGAACAGAUGAGCCCCGAGUGAAAACAGAUAAGGUCUCAAGACUGAGGCUGGAGAAACCCCCACAUUUCAUGCUUACUGUUGCCAAUACUGUGAUCUCAGCAAAUACACCAUUUGCUCCCCAAUCUUUCCCAUCCCCUCACAGCUAAGUAAGGCCAUAAGAUUUGUUCUAGUCAAAGAAAUAUGAGUGGGAAUGAGAGGGAAAAGCCCAAAGAUGACUUUCCAGCCUUUCGCUUCUCUUCCUACAGAGAUAAGAUGGUGGCUUCUUUAUCGCCUGGUCCCUGAGUGACUGUGUGGAGCAGAUCCUGCAGAGAUGUCUUGGCUAUAAAGCAUGAGAUAGUAAUAAAUACUUGUUACAUUAAGCUACUGAGAUCUCGAUGUGGUUUGUUACUGCAGCCGGUCCUAUCCUAUCCUUUGUGAUAAAGUCCGUUAAAGAGACAGCAUAACAUCGUGACCAACAGCGUACAUAGAUCAGGACCCAAACUGUUGAAAUCUCGUCUUUUGCAAUUGUAGCUAAGUAAGCUGGGGGAAAGUUUCUCUCUGUUUUGGUUUUCUCAUCUAGAAAAUUGGGGGCAGAGUAUCCAUUUCAUAGGAUUGUUUUGAGGAUUAAAGUAGGUAAACGUUCAAAGUGCUUAGAAUUGUACAAAUAAUAAGAGAGUCAAUAAUAUCUGCUCAAGAAAGAGAGACUGCAAAAAGCAAGAGGGCUAGGAGGGGAACCAGGGGAAUGUGACAUCACAGGAUGCGAAAUAGGAGAUUCUAGAGUAUGUUUGAGGAAUGAUGGGAAAGUUCCAGUGGGGAGGGGAAAUGGAAAAUCUGAGAGUGAGGGGACCUCAUCAGUGCAACAAGUCCCUGAAGUGUUUUGAGUCAGUGAGACCCGGAACACAGGGAGAGGGACUGGCCUCCCCCGCUGGGACAGCACAGGGAGAAAGGGACGGAUGCUCAUGCAGGGAGGGUGCUGGGUUUGUGGUCAGGAAGAAGGGGCAGGGCUCUUCUGUAAGUGUGGAAGUGCAGAGAACCGGAAUGCCUGCUCCUGCCGUCGGGAGGCUCCGAGUGAGGGGAAGUGGGAGGGAGGUCCUCAGGAUGGAGGCUGAACGGAGCCCUGCUGCCCGUGGAGCAUGAGCACCCACUUGGAGUACCUGCCGCAAAUCCGGAUCUGAACCUUAUCCAUUAAAUCAGACACAAGAUCCCUCUGUCACCACUAGGAAGAUCCGGGAAGCGGUUGUCUAACAGGACAGAGUUCAGCCUGGGGCACUUCAGCGGUGUCUGGCCUUCAGUUUGCAUUUUUAAGCAGGUUUCCCCUCUUUGCUUGACAUAAGCUCUCCUUUCCAGCCAAAUUGUUCUGUUCAGUGUCUCUUGAGCUCUUACUGGAUCUUUCUGACGAGAUCUCCUGCUUUAUGGGAUUCUAUGCACCUGGGAUGUUUUCUGCACCCCUCUUCUCUUAAUUAAACCCAAAUCAUCCUUUUAAGCUCAACUCAAGCUCAAGACUUUGGUGAAGCCUCUCCAUUCCUUCAUCCCACAGUCAGCACCCUGUCCCACCAUUCCUACAGUGCCUGGUGCAUCCUUCCUCCUGUUGUGAGUAACAGGGUCAUGGGCAUCACCCUCGGGGGGCUGCUGUGCUGUGCUCCAUGUGAAGGGGUUCCCCGGUUUGCACCCGAAGAGCCACAGGUGUGCCCUGGAUGUAUCUCCUCAAGAAAAGUGGGAAUUUCUUCAAGCGAGAAGAGGUGUCUUGCCUUAGACAUCUGUACGUCUCCCAUGAUGCCUUGUUCCUAAUAGGUGCUCAUUAAAUACUGGGUGAUGGAUUUGCUACAGUUAGUAGGUGUGAGAAAGACUCAAAGAUGGGGAUGUCAAGCCUCCACCUGGAUUUAUUCUCUAACUGGCAGUGUUUUCCUUAAGCUUUGAGCCUUGGUCACAGCAUCUUCAAUUUGAGAGAGGAACAGCUCCAUCCUCACUUCGCCCGCCCCCAGGAGGGGACCAGAAAAGGAUUCUUGCCUACAGGGUGUGUGGUGAUAUUGGGCAGAAAGGCCUGAGAUGAUGGGAGAUGUUAUCAGUGCUAAUAAAUUUCUCGUAUGUUCGUCAGAACUUGCUAAUUGCCAGCAAAUCAUGAUAAUGGGGAGGCAGUCCCAGGCAGGAGAAGAAACAUGUUAGUUCAAGGUCAGGGGCAAGAUGUGGGUCUCUCUGGCUGUCAGGCUUAAAUCUUCACUUCUCUCCUGGUCUCCCCUCCUAGAUGCUCCUAGGAGCGCUAUGUAGGCGUGCAGUUUAAAAUAACACUGGCUUUGUUUGGCUUUGA